CGUUGCUUGUGCAUGUCUGCGCAUGCGUAUGUGUGCACCGUUCGCAUUCUCUUUCAAUAUCCAUCACUCACGCGCACCUACGCAGGAGAAAAGGGUGUGCCAGACGUUCGACGUGGUGGAAACGCAAGGCGCAGCAUGUAUCGGUAUUGUACGAGCGCAUCCUUGGCCGUGGGAGCAGCUGCGCCGCGAGUGGUGCCCCGACACUCACAGUCCGCCGCCGUCCUGCUCCGUCUUCAUUGCAGCUGCACUGAGGGCUUUCGCCGCACCACCGUCAUUGCCCAUUCCCAACGGCUGGCACACACACAAGCCCUCGCCCUGAUACGGCGCUGGAUAAGCAAGGGUUCACGUGGGUUGGCAUCUUCGCUCAUGGCCUCCCCUCCAUCGGCGCCGUCAGCUCCGUCCGCUGUCUCGAAGGCAGCAUCAGACGACAUCGUGGCGGCAACCACAGCAAGCGGCUCUGGGGAGGCGGCGCAGCGAGUCAAACUGCGCUCUGCACGUCCGUCACCGCGCUCGAUCUCGCAUGUGAAGCAGAAGCCGCUCUUCCCGGGCAUGUUCCGCCACGUCUCAAUGUUCGAGGGCGAACACGUCUACCACUAUGGCCGCCACACUUUCACCAUCAUGCGGGACAGUGCGGUCAUGGGUAUAAUACCGGCAGGCUGUAUCCUGGGCUACAUUGUUACCCACAUGCCCUCGGGGCCGGUGAUUCCGUUUGAGGUGCAGUGCUUGUUCAUGGCCGCCUUGUUCGUGCUGUCGCGCCUCAUGGCAGCCGGCAGGCGCAACCGAUGCACCAAGGACCUGACUGGUCGGCAUGUUGUCCUCACCGGCGGCACCAGCGGCAUCGGGAAGGCCACCGCGGCGCAGCUGGCAAAGAUGGGGGCGGACAUCACGAUUAUAGCCAAGGACUCGCCGCACGCCGCGGAGGCGCUCUUGUACGUGCGCAGCCACGCCAAGAACAGCGUCGAUCAGCAAAUCCACCUGCAGCCGCUGAACCUCGACGACUUCAUCGCGGUGCGGGAGUACUGCAAGCGCGCGCGGCACAGCAACCGUUCCAUCGACAUACUAGUGAACGCGGCGGGAGUGCUGCAGGAAAAGUACGUGACGACCCGCUUUGGCGAUGACAUGCAGCUGGCCAUCAACUUCCUUGGCCCGUAUCUACUCACCGAGGGCCUGCUCCCGCUCGUGGAGGCGGCGCACGGCCGCAUCGUCUACGUCGCAUGCAGUGCGCACGUGGGCGUGAAGGGGAACGUCGUGCAGACGUACCUCAGUGGGCGUGGCGUAUGGUCACCGCGAGUCGCAGACAAGUUCGACGGCUUGGAGCAGUACGGCUUCACAAAGCUCGGCAACAUCUUCCACGCCCAGCAGCUGGCCCUCCGCUCCUACCCGAAGCCGGCGAAGAGUAGCGUGUCCUCGAGGCUGACGCUCCAGCAGCAGGUAAUCGGGACUCCUGGUGGGCGCAAGCAGCCUGCGUCGCGCAGGUCCGGAUAUGCCGCCGCUGUUGAAGUCGCUGCAGCCUCACAGGCCAGCGGCACUGAAGCUGCCGGCGCCACGGCAACCGUAAACAUCGAGCCACGAUUCACUUGCUGCGCCUGCUCACCAGGGGGCGUCAUCACAAACCUGUACCGUAGCACCCCGUUCUCCGGCACCUUCGUGUAUCUCUACUACCUCUACAUCCUUGUAAUGCGCACCGCGUGGGAGGGGAGUCAGACGGUAGUGAACUGCUGCGUGCGGGACGACUUCAAGAACGGCGGGUAUUACAUGAACACGCGCUAUCAGCCAGCCGGACUGUCCAAGACGGCCUGCAACGUGGCGGAGCGCGAUCAGGUGAUGACGUGGGUACACAACAAGAUGAAGCCGUACAUGAAGUGGGAAUAGGAAGCGCGCAGUCCUGUAUGCGUGCAUGUCUGUUUGUGUGUGCGCGCGCAUCCAUCCAGGGGUGCGGAAAGCAGAGAUUGAUGGUCACAGACGCACUCGAGCUCC
rnacentral:misc_RNA from 1 species